rnacentral:sRNA from 1 species
CAAAAACCAGAAAAAACAAAACAACAUCAAAGAGAGAUUUAAAUUGUGACUCCUUCAUCCUCUUCCACCAUUGUACUUUUACAUUCUAAUGAAAGAAUAGUAGUAUGUAAAGAAACUCCAAGGAGGGGCUCCAGGAGGAGCUGCCAUUCUUCCCAUAAGACUUUGCAGUAGAUUUCCACCAGUAACAUCAAAGCAGCCAUCUUUCCCAUCAGGCUUUGCAGUAGUUUUCACCAAUUACAUCAGAGCAGCCAUUUUUCCCAUCAGGCUUUGCAGUAGUUUCCACCACAAACAGCAGAACAGCCAUUUUCCCCAUCCCUCCUGUAAGACCGUGCCAGACUCACCUACAGAGAAGGCCCUGUCUCAGACAGGCUCAGAAGAAGAAAAUGACAAGUCCCUUGUCAGAGCACAGUCCAUGAAAGAAGCUCUGUGACUUUUUAAGACCUGUUAAAUUCAUCAUCUAAAUGCACAAAACACCGAAAUAAAAAAAAAUCUAAACCAGGCUUACCUGCUGCCACUCCGAAGGUAAUAAAGAGAGACUGCACAUUAGCUGCAUAGGCGCUCAGCACCCAGCCGAGGGAGUUCACCAGCCCUCCAAUGAUUGCUGUCUGGCGGCACCCACAGGUGUUAAUGAACAAGCCGAUGAAAGGUCCUGCCACAGAACAGGGGAAAAGGCACUGACAAGAGGCUCCUCAUUGUCUCAGAGCCUCACACAUAAAGAACAAAGCAUCACCAGGGACGCUUAAAGGAGCCCAAACCCGGGGCUACCGAGAUGGCUAAGCAGGAAAGGGGCUUGUAGCCAAACCUGUCAACCUGAGUUCAAGCCCGAGACCCACAUGGUAGAAACAGAACAAACUCCUAUGGGUUGUUGACCUGCACAAUGCACCCCUCAAUAAAAUUACAUGAGAUCAUUUUUA